rnacentral:rRNA from 1 species
ACCCGCUGAACUUAAGCAUAUCAAUAAGCGGAGGAAAAGAAACUAACAAGGAUUCCCCUAGUAACUGCGAGUGAAGCGGGAAAAGCUCAAAUUUAAAAUCUGGCGGCCCCUGUGACCGUCCGAGUUGUAAUCUAGAGAAGUGUUAUCCGCGCUGGACCGUGUAAAAGUCUCUUGGAAUAGAGCGUCAUAGAGGGUGAGAAUCCUGUCUUUGACACGGACUGCCAGUGCUUUGUGAUGCGCUCUCGACGAGUCGAGUUGUUUGGGAAUGCAGCUCAAAAUGGGUGGUAAAUUCCAUCUAAAGCUAAAUAUUGGCGAGAGACCGAUAGCGAACAAGUACCGUGAGGGAAAGAUGAAAAGAACUUUGGAAAGAGAGUUAAACAGUACGUGAAAUUGUUGAAAGGGAAACGCUUGAAGUCAGUCGCGUUGGCCGGGGAUCAACCUUCUCUUGAGUUGGAGCACUUCCUGGUUGACGGGUCAGCAUCAAUUUUGAUCGUUGGAUAAAGGCUAGGGGAAUGUGGCAUCUUCGGAUGUGUUAUAGCCCUUGGUCACAUACAACGGUUGGGAUUGAGGAACUCAGCACGCCGCAAGGCCGGGGUUUUACCCACGUACGUGCUUAGGAUGCUGGCAUAAUGGCUUU